CCCCUUCCUUCCCCUCACUCCUUCCUCCUCCUCUCCUGAGCCCCUGCAGACAGCUCUUCUCCCUGGACAGAGGCCUAGCGCAGACUUCCUCAUAAGUGAGUCAGGUUCUAGGAGUGCUCCUGUCACUGCCCAGGCACCAACUCAGUCAGGCUCCGUCUGGAGUGCUGUGUUGAAUCCAGAGUCAGAAGAAAGAAUUCCGAGAUCCAUUGGUCAUGCCUGUCGUGGGCCUAGGUAUAGGGACUGGAAGCAUGUUUAUCAGAAACAUUCGGGAAGAUUUGACUUCCAUGGAAUGGGAAAUAUGAAGCAGUCCUCUCUUCUUGCAAAGACUUAACCCCAGGUAACUUGGUGAAGAUCUUGGCGCAUGGCUGAAAGAAAGAGGCGGGUGGUGCUGGGGAGACAGCUGAGCCCGCAUGCUGCUGGCUAACAGAAGUACAGUGUUCUCAGAAGAGAGCAAAGCAAGCUGGCCUUGCCCAAGGGACAUGGUUAGUGCGGUGUGACUGGAGCGGUCAGCAAAGCCUAAUGUGACACACAGUGCCUCUCCACUGCCCUGACUUCCAAGUGAGAGAACAGAAGAGGAGCUCAACCCAUCCCCCAGUGGCCCGUUGGUCUUCCAUGGUCUGCUUUGCUUUGGAGAAAAUAUUCUGCUACAAUGAGACAUGUCCGCUCAAGUGACUUGUCAUAAUUCUCUGUACACUGGUGAGGAAAGGGGUUGCAAUGACUCAUGAUGUUCCUGGAUCACCUAGGGACACGUCUUCAUCAUCAGUUGGAUGAUAUAUUGGCCACUGAGGACAUUUCUAGGGCCCUGCCUUCUGACACCAAUUACCCAGAAAAUGCAAACUAUUCAGAUGUUAGCCCAAGUCCUUAAAGAAAAUGUUCCUUCCUUCAAUAAAAGCCUUGGUGCUUUCCAAAGCCAGAACUAAAUUCCCGUUUGGGUCACCCAUGCAUGUAUUUGAGUGAGACAGGUAUAAAUCAUGUCCAGCUCUGUUAUUAAAAUUCUCAGGGAUUGAGCUAUGAAAUAAGAAUGAACGUAAAAGUAGGUAACUUAUAUUAGGGGACUAAUAUAUUCCAGGUACUGGGCUAAAUGCUUUAUACUUUUAGUUCACUUUAAUACAUUUGCUA